CUUUAGUCCUUAUCCUUGCCUGUCAUUUCUUUUUUAGAUCAUUGCUCCCUUUGAGAGGCAGGGAUCAGCAGAGGCAGGCUCAUGUAUUAUUGAAAGAGACGAUGUUAGCCUCAAUCACCGCAUUCGGCAUUUCGGAGAUAAUACGACAAGAGCUGCAAAACCAGCCGGGAAGCCGGGAGAAACGGACUUUGAAAGGGUCACAUUUCUAGAGGGAGUGCUGAGCGCCUGGAAGUGACCCAGAAGGCAGCAAAAUGGACGGGAAAGCCCCCCAGCUGUGGCCAGGAAGAUGACGUGCUUGCCAAUUCUUGUUUCCCAAGAACGAGUCACGUUUCAAUAAUCCUCGCAGGCGACCUUUGCAGAACGGCGCUGGGGAAUGCUGAGGUUCGCUGCUGCUCUGCGGAAGACAUAAGAAGUGGGCGGGAGGGGCGGGGGAAUAGGGGAGGCAGAAGCAUUGCCACCAAAAUGCGUUUCCAAUGUAAUGAAGACAUUAAGUAUUUAUGAAAAGGAUAAUUAACAUUCAAAUGACAGGAGCGAUGGAAACAAAUAGGAACUGUUCCCAAAAUUGUUUGCGCGUUGGCCCGCGCCAGAUACUCUUGCUAAGCUAAUGAGAAGAACCUCUGCGGUGCCAGUGUUUGGGUUGUAAUUAGGGCUGAGCUGAUGGAGAAUAAGCCAAGAGGAAAUAAAGUAAACAGUCCGGAAAGAGAGAAAGAAAAAAACCCUCUCCCAAAACGUCGCUGUGCCACAUACGGGCUAUGAUUUGUUUGCGUCUCCAUGGGAAAUGUAAAGUGCAGCAGCUGUGCAGUACUUAUUGGGUUCCCCGAUUCCCCCGUCUCCCUUUUGCAAA